UGGGCUUAUUUUUUGCCCUUUUGUGACUUAAGUGUAACAUGACCGGUUGAGGUCAUGUUCACAUGAUUUUUGUUCAUUUUAUUAUUUGUUUCAUUGUCACAUUUCAAAAACCGGAUUUUGGGUGGUUUGGACCAUGGGCCUGAGAAUAUCGCUUUCUCCACCCCCCCUGCUUUUAGCCCAUGUGCAUAUUUCAACUGACUUUGGUUCAUUUCUUCUUUUACUCAUACACCCCCUUUCCAUUUUCA
rnacentral:lncRNA from 1 species